CGCUGGUACUGUGCCUCGUGGCGACCUCGGCGCUGUGCGAGCGGGGUCCCAUGGGGGCCCCCACGGGUUUGGGGGUAUCAACUUGGAGGUGCAGGGUGAUACACGAGGAGCUGAGUUGUGGGGUCUUUCCCAGGAGCCCUUUUUCCGUGGGAAACGCGCCUGGCAUGUGGCAGUGUGGGAUGGGCCCGCUGCAAAUAUGCAUCAGCUAUGCUAUUCCUUCUUGUGGCUUCAAAACAGAUCUGCCACCAAAUGCACAGCCUUGAUGCCCCUUCACAAGGAUUUGACUCCUGCACUCAGCAGACGUGCAGAAGGAACAUCACCUGGCACUGGGAGAUGAGGCUCUAACCUGUGCAAGAUUGCCCUGGACAGAGGAGACCUGUGCCUCUUGUGUGAGAAGCUAUUUCAUCUGUUACUGAUGUUGGUGAAGCCAAGGCCUUCCUAAUUGCAGGCUUCCAAAAUGUUUCUCCUUGCAAGGUGCAGUGGAGCUGGGAAGUGGGGCAGUUGGGAGUGCUGCCAGCAAAAGGGUGAAUCUCGUGGGGAGUUCCUGUGAGAAACAAGGUGGAUGUGCCUGAGGAAAGUGUAGAGUACAUGGGGGUUUGUAAUUCCUGGAAUACUGUCUUUGUGCUGAAUGCCUAGGUAGUGGUACCUAAAAGGUGUCCUGUAAGAGAUCUGAUUUGUCUUCCCUUUAUUGUAUUCUGAUUCUCCUGCUCCCAUCUACUGUGGGAAUAAACAUGUGCCUGAAGCAAGAAUGCACUUCCGUGUGGUUCUGAAUUUGCCAUGAAAAGGAAGGGCUGUUUCUGAGCAGGUACCUGAGUGUAGUCAGUGGUAAACUUGGUGUGGAGUUCUGACUGAACAGAUGUGGCCUCAAUGACUCUAAAAAUUGGGAGUUUAUUGCAACGUUGCACUGUGUAAUUAAAAGAAAAACAACUCUAUAUUCUCUAGUUGUCACUUCUCAGCAAUUUUUGCUGAUCUUUAUGCUGGCUCUACGCAAAUUUAGACUCAAGUUCUAGAUAUUUGCUGUAUGAUCUUGUUUCCCAACAGACUGGUUCUAAUUUUUAAAGAUAGGUUCUUGGGAUGAUUUCUAUGAGACUUGUAAUUUGGGUACCUAAACUCAUUAAAUACAAUUUUCCAAUGGGGAGAGACAGCAUCACAAAGCAAGUAGUAGCUUUGUACUUACCCUGUUUCUUCCAAUGUUUGUAAUUCUGUAUUUCCAAUUCAGUUAGGAUUUGUAAGCUUUGUGUCUCCUAUAUUUGGGUGUUGCAAGUUGAACUUGUGAGUUGCCAGCUGAAAGGCAGCCUUCCCCCAGGUGAAAUUAGUUUGGUGAAUAGGAAUUCAUAGAUAAACAAACUUGUAUAUAGUGCUGCUGUCUGUUAUUCUGAAAGUACCUCUCUCUUCUCAGGAAAGGACUGUGCUGUUUGCAGCCUCACUGGGUGAGGAAGCAACUUUGCAAUUACUGUAUGAAGAACUGAGAAGGUGGAGGAUUGCAGUAUAAUGGGCCACACUUGCAUGAACAGCAUUAAAAAGCCCAAGUGUUUUUUACCCCACUGGUAAUGUUUGCCUGACGCUGGUUGGAGCCAAUAAAAAUCUGCAAACUCUG